rnacentral:rRNA from 1 species
UCAUGGAGAGUUUGAUCCUGGCUCAGGACGAACGCUGGCGGCGUGCUUAAUACAUGCAAGUCGAGCGGUUCUUC